UGUACCAUUUUUUCAGUGUAGUCCUUAUCCACCUACAACUUUGCCGAAGACACCAAAUCGAUCAAAAAAUUCCUUCAAAAGAUACAGAUUUUUGAAUUUUCAUACAUCAUUUUUGUAUGGACAGCUGCCAAAUUUGUAUGGAAAAUUAUAUGGACAAACUAAUGAUGCAAAAUGGCUUCUUUGGGCAUACCGAAGGCACCAAAAAAGUUUUAGCCAGGUUAAAAAAUACAAAAAUUAAAAUUAAGAAAAAUACCGAUUUCGUAAAGCAUUGCUCAUAUGAUACCAAAAAAAAUUAAGGCUAAUUUCAAAAUUGGGCUAGUGUUUUCUGUUCUCAGAUAAACUAGAAAAUAAAAAGGGUUUUCAAAAGAACCGUAUCAUUUUUAUUUCAUCAUAAAAGUUUUUUAUCAAUUCUCAAAAGAAAUCUAAACAAAUCCAGAUUUUGCAUUUUUGCUUGAGAAAAAAAAGAUUUAGCCAAUAAGCUCUUUUCAAACGUUCCCCGUGAGUAAAAUUUGUUUGUCGCAGCGUAAUCAUGCAUCCGAACUGACAAAGGAGCAGGAAGUGGUUAACUAAAAAUUAAAAUAAAUUACUGUAGCUUACCAAAAACGGUUCACUUCUUUGUUUCCAUCAACACAACACGGACCCCGGAAUUAGUUGUUUAGCAACAAUCAUGGGAAUCGCAACGCUUUUGAUUGCACUAACGCUCCUGUUUGAACUUGUUGGUUGAUGUGGCAAUCAACCAGUAAGGUUUCAAGCUUUAAUUAUCUCAUUCUAGGGACAAUUGGGCCAAGUUCAUCCUACUAAAGAGGAAAACAUCAACUCCACCGGAGUUACUCCAUCGUUCAGAGUACUAAGUAAACCAAAGACGACCAUCCCAGCAAAACCGAAACUGACUACGAAGGCAAGCAACAGACCUAUCACAACUACCAAGCGAAUUGGACAAACAACAAAACCAAUCAAGGUAAAGAAAUUCACUUCGAUAUAAUAACCUCGUAUUAAAAAAAAUAUUUGUUUGCAGAAUCAACAAUUGCAAAAAACAACACCAAAAGUUAGUAUCGCAUUUGAGACUUGUUAGAAUGGGUUUAAUAUUUUAUUUACUAUUUUCAGAAAAUCUUUGUUGAACAUAUUCAAUCAAAGGCCAAAACAUUCACAACAACGAAAAAGGUAGGAAUACUUAACAAAUGAGCAAAACGAAGAUUUUAGAAAUCAAGUAUUUUAACGACAAUUUUAGUUGGCUCAACUGAGGAAAACUACGGUGCCCCAAUUUCUAGGUAUCCCGGUAAGAUUUGUGUAUUACUUACAAAAAAAUAUAUGUUGAUUCCUAUUUUAAACUUCAGGAGCCGGAUAUUGUGUACAGUCUUGUAAGUGAAACAAACGAAAUCUACUAGAAAGCAAUCUUGAAAAAUAUUAACACAUCAUACCAUAGGGUACUCCCCCAGAAGACCCUCUUCCUGAAAAAGUCUUUUCGCUUGUGAACGAAGUGAACGAAGAUUAUGACAAUUUAAACGAGACAGUGUCGCCAACCCCCACCGAUGACCUCGCGAACGGUGUAGUGCUGAGUACAACAACACUGAAUACGACCGAAGUUCCGGACGCGUCCACCGUCGAGGACGUAACUCGGAAAAGGUUGAAGCGUCGCAAGGCGACCACGACCACGUCGACCAGACGUCGACUAAAGCGAACGAGAACGACCACCGUUGGGCCGGAAAAUGUUUGAAACCCUGAAAAGGGUUUGCGGCUGAUGAUUGGUUUUGUAACACUGAAUAGUUUUUUUUAAAUUGUUUCAACGAAUUUCACAUCACUGAAUACUUGCAUUCUGUUUUCUUGAAAAAUAUCACAAAAGAAGAUUCCGACUAUUUAAAAAAAUAAAGUGUCCGAAAUAUGUA